CAGCAUUUCGGCUGGUGUCGCUGCUCCAGGGAAAGUUCUGUUACUCCACUGACUCUCUCUUUUCCUGAUAACAUGGCCAGCAAGAAAGUAAUUACAGUGUUUGGAGCAACAGGAGCUCAAGGUGGCUCUGUGGCCAGGGCAAUUUUGGAGAGCAAAAAAUUUGCAGUGAGAGCAGUGACCAGGGAUGUGACUUGACCAAAUGCCCUGGAGCUCCAGCGCCUUGGAGCUGAGGUGGUCAAAGGUGACCUGAAUGAUAAAGCAUCGGUGGACAGUGCCUUAAAAGGUGUCUAUGGGGCCUUCUUGGUGACCAACUUCUGGGACCCUCUCAACCAAGAUAAGGAAGGGAAGCUGGUGGCAGACUCCGCCAAGCACCUGGGUCUGAAGCACGUGGUGUACAGCGGCCUGGAGAACGUCAAGCGACUGACGGAUGGCAAGCUGGAGGUGCCGCACUUUGACAGCAAGGGCGAGGUGGAGGAGUACUUCUGGUCCAUUGGCAUCCCCAUGACCAGUGUCCGCGUGGCGGCCUACUUUGAAAACUUUCUCGCGGCGUGGCGGCCCGUGAAAGCCUCUGAUG
ensembl:lncRNA NMRAL2P NmrA like redox sensor 2, pseudogene